rnacentral:rRNA from 1 species
UACGGAGGGGGCGAGCGUUAUUCGGAAUUAUUGGGCGUAAAGGGCGCGUAGGCGGCCUGAUAAGUCAAAGGUGAAAUCCCUCGGCUCAACUGAGGAAUUGCCUUUGAAACUGUCAGGCUUGAGGCCGGGAGGGGGUGGCGGAAUUCCCAGUGUAGCGGUGAAAUGCGUAGAUAUUGGGAGGAACACCAGUGGCGAAGGCGGCUCUCUGGACCGAUACUGACGCUGAGGCGCGAAAGCGUGGGGAGCAAACAGG